GAAACUUGGAGAAGAGAAAGAUACUGCAGAAAAAAAGAUGGCGGUGAUGGAAAAACUGAAGAUGUUCGUAGUGCAAGAGCCUGUUGUUGCAGCUUCUUGCCUUAUCGCUGGUGUUGGUCUUUUCCUCCCAGCUGUAGUAAGGCCCAUUCUGGAUUCAUUUGAAACAAGCAAGCAAGUUCAUCAGCCGACAAUAAGUGAUGUGGUUGCAGGUUUCCGUAAAAGGCAGGCAUAAAGUGACUCAUUGAAUCAAGUAGCAGAAUAUCAAUCUCCCAAGUUCCAACUCUCGUGGGUUUUACUAUUUUUCUUUUUUCUUCAUCUUGAGCAGCAUGAAAUAAGAUUUUCUUUUUAAUUGUUGAACAAUGAGAA
rnacentral:misc_RNA from 1 species